rnacentral:tRNA from 1 species
AGUUAUUUUUAUGGAGAAAAUUUUGUUUUGAAAACAGGAUUAAAGUGUUCGAUUCACUUAGUAGCUU